rnacentral:rRNA from 1 species
GUCCUAGCCGUAAACGAUGGGCACUUAGCAGGGGCGGUUCCUAUUACUGUCCUUGCUGAAGCAAAUGUGUUAAGUGCCCCGCCUGGGGAGUACGGUCGCAAGAUUAAAACUCAAAGGAAUUGACGGGGCUCACACAAGCGGUGGAGCAUGUGGUUCAAUUCGAAGCAACGCGAAGAACCUUACCUGGGCUUGACAUGCUGGGAUUAGCCUCCUGAAAGGGAGGUGACGCUCGCAAGAGUGGAACCAGCACAGGUGUUGCAUGGCUGUCGU